GGGCUGCGCAGCGGAGAGGGGACUCAGGGGGGACGGGACGGGGUAGCUGCGCCGCAGGCCCCGGGGGUAGCGCGCCACCCGGGUGGGUUGGGGAAUCGCUGCCUAGGGCGUUAGCCUGGGCGGGGUUCCGCUUUCAGGGCUGUUUGUUUCCCUUCCCUGUUGGCUGCAGGGUAGCUGGAGCCGGGUCGGCCCGGCCCCGGGCUGGGAGCGAGACGAGGUGGGGGCGGUAACAGCUUCUAUUUACUUAUAACCUAUCAAAGAUGUUCCCUCCCGCACCUGGUCUCUCUGCUCCCCUCCAGUCGCGGGCAGGCGAGAAGGUGCGAUCCCACCAGCAGCCUGAGCCUCUGCCCCUGCCUUCCCGGUGGUUCCAUGGCUACGCCUGGAAGUUACUGAAGACAACAGUACAUUGUUAAUUUCUUUUGGCAACGGAAUAUCCCUUAGGGAAGUAUCCUGAGUGCCGAAACCUAAAGUGUGGUUGUUAGGACAUGUGACAACAUCCAGAACGUGAACAAGCCCAAGGAGGGCCCCAAAGGAGCUGAUGUUUCAAGAUCAGAAAAUGUUGGAAUGACAGUCAACUAAUUUGCUCUAUUAAAAUGUGUGUCAGACCAGAUCCCCAUGUGACACUGCUGUAGGGUCUAGAAGGAUGAAGGAGCAGACUACCAUGUCGAACAGAAAUGUGUUGUUUUACAGUCUUUAUUCUAGAUCCAUGUAGGAAUCUGAAGUGAGAGCUCUUGAGAUGCGACUGCUGCACAGAUACUGAUUCAGUGGGUGAGAAGGAUAUGGGAAGAAGUAGGAAGUUCUCAGUGAGACAGCAAUGGAGGCAUCCUGCUUCCCCUAAAAGUCAAAAAUAACUGCUCCAUAUGAAGUGGCAAGACAAGAUCAGAAAUGAAGAUAUUCGAAGCCAAAUCCAACAAUCAUCUCCAUCAGGACCGGAUCAGUUCCAGCAGCUUUGUUGGUAUGGAUAUAUUAUAAAAAUGGAAGACCAAUGAGUUCUGAUGCAUGCUUACCAAUGAAUGUUGCUACCCCGCCGGUGACCAUGUGGGUGCGAAAUGCUUCAGUGGCAUGACAAGGUUGCCAGUGAUGGACAGAAACCUCAAUAUACAACCAGACACCCUUAAGCACCAUGCCAAAGAUCGAUCCGGAUGGCGAUUGCUUUACAAGAAGGCUACGUCCCUUUGGGAUUUGCCAAGAUGAUGAUGAAGUGCAAAUGGCCUGAGUAUUAAUCAACCUGAAAUCGUUAUACUGUAUUGUUGCAACUACAUAAUCUUUUACUCACUAAAAUAAUCUGCAUGCCUAUGAAAGUUAGUGCCCAGUUCAUUUGGAGCAGUGGAAAUAUAUCUGCUUAUUGGUAGAUAUGAUUGUGACGGGAUCCCCCCAAGGUGCAGCCUGAGACUGU